AAUUUCAACAGAGAUGGCA
rnacentral:piRNA from 1 species